rnacentral:rRNA from 1 species
UACCAGCACCCCGAGUGGUCGGGACGUUUAUUGGGCCUAAAGCAUCCGUAGCCGGUUCUGCAAGUCUUCCGUUAAAUCCACCUGCUUAACAGAUGGGCCGCGGAAGAUACUAUAGAGCUAGGAGGCGGGAGAGGCAAGCGGUACUCGAUGGGUAGGGGUAAAAUCCGUUGAUCCAUUGAAGACCACCAGUGGCGAAGGCGGCCUGCCAGAACGCGCUCGACGGUGAGGGAUGAAAGCUGGGGGAGCAAACCGG